rnacentral:lncRNA from 1 species
CCCAGCUUUCUGCUGGAGCAGGGGAACAGGGAAGAUGGCCCGAGAAGGCCUUGGCAUUGCAGUGACCCCCUCCCGCCCCCCGCAUCCGAUUCAAUACGAGGAAGGAGGGUCAGUGGGAAAAGAGCCCCGGGACAACCACCCGCACCCCUACAGGAGUCAAAGGGAAGAGAAGGAAGACAGUUAAUUCUGGGACAAGCAAAAAGAACGGUUUUGGAGUCACGGGGGCGUUCCUGCACAAAGGACUUGGAUGUUGUGUUUUUUCUUCUUUUCUGGCGUUUUCCGUUCCCAGCUUUGAAGUCGGGUUCAGACCUCCUGGAGACCACGGACUGAGCGGAGGGGUGGGGGUAGCAGAACCCAGAAGCCGCGCUGGCCCCUCCUCAAUCGCUCCCACACUCUCACAAGCCCAAGGCCAGUCUGUGUGGACACCGAACGCGCCAAGCCGGAUCCAGGCGAGAGCGGCCACUCGGACAGGUGGGGACCAGGGGUGGGAGAGGGUCCCCUAGGCCUGAGAACACCGACCUCGGGGAAUUUUUUGGGGAGUGGGAGGGAGCCAUACAGGGAGAAAAGCAAAAUAAAAAAAUAGAAGAAAAUUCAGGCGUAGACAUUGAAUUAACUCCGGAUUUUUUCUUUUUUUCGGCGAAAGAGAAAGGGGUUAAACCCAAAUUCGGGUCUGGGUUCUGGGGU